UUCUUCAUGGUCUCCACCCUGGAAAACCAGCUCGAAUUCUUGUAUGCGGGCCAGAUUCCAAGAGACAUCAUAAUUAGAUCCCAGAAGACUACAUUGCAGCUGAAGAGGAUGUCCCCUGUGGAAUAUAUGGAGGAAAGGCUGGCCAAAGCAAUGUCCACAUUCAUGCAAUUAUCCAGUUAAUUGCACAAUCAAACCAAGACUUGUUCUAAAGCCACAAUAACAACGAAAUUGAUGCUUCCAUCUCCCAGAAAUAUGGCUGUGCUGUGAUCCAUGAAUUUUAAAUUAGAAGUAAAUCUAGACUGAACUACUAAUUUUCCCCAUCAGCUGAAGUUUUGGCAAUGAACAGCUUGCAGCUGAAUCCCCUUCUGGAAAU
rnacentral:lncRNA from 1 species